UCCCCGUAGCUCAGUUGGUAAAGAAUCUGCCUGCAGUGCAGGAGACCCAGGUUCAAUUCCUGGAUUGGGAA
rnacentral:tRNA from 1 species